CCGGCGACCGGCGCACGGGUGAGUAACACGUAUGUAACCUGCCCUAUGCAGGGGGAUAACCCGGAGAAAUCCGGCCUAAUACCGCGUAACACCUUUUGGGAGCAUUCCCGGGAGGUUAAAGGAGAGAUCCGGCAUAGGAUGGACAUGCGUCGCAUUAGGUAGACGGCGGGGUAACGGCCCACCGUGCCGACGAUGCGUAGGGGUUCUGAGAGGAAGGCCCCCCACACUGGUACUGAGACACGGACCAGACUCCUACGGAAGGCAGCAG
rnacentral:rRNA from 1 species